AGCAAGGACAGCACCAAGUUUCAGGGGGAUCGAUAGGUCACACAUAUCUAAUUUUUUUAUGAUUAGUAUUUUUAUUAUUGUUAGAUGAUAAAACAUGAAUAAUACUUUAUCCAUGACUUAUUUUUUUAAAUUUUUUUAUAAUUUUUUUAAAUAAGACGAACGGUCAAACGUUAGACACGAAAACUCAGGAAUUGAGUUUUU
rnacentral:pre_miRNA from 1 species